GGGCUCGUGGUGUAGCUAGGAUAUCACCAGGGCUUCCGGAGCCCUAAACCCGGGUUCGAAUCCCGGCGAGUCCG
rnacentral:tRNA from 1 species